GACGAACGCUGGCGGCGUGCUUAACACAUGCAAGUCGAACGGAAAGGCCCUGCUUUUGUGGGGUGCUCGAGUGGCGAACGGGUGGGUAACACGUGAGUAACCUGCCCUUGACUUUGGGAUAACUUCAGGAAACUGGGGCUAAUACCGGAUAGGAGCUCCUGCUGCAUGGUGGGGGUUGGAAAGUUUCGGCGGUUGGGGAUGGACUCGCGGCUUAUCAGCUUGUUGGUGGGGUAGUGGCUUACCAAGGCUUUGACGGGUAGCCGGCCUGAGAGGGUGACCGGCCACAUUGGGACUGAGAUACGGCCCAGACGCCUACGGGAGGCAGCAGUGGAGAAUAUUGCACAAUGGGCGGAAGCCUGAUGCAGCAACGCCGCGUGCGGGAUGACGGCCUUCGGGUUGUAAACCGCUUUCGCCUGUGACGAAGCGUGAGUGACGGUAAUGGGUAAAGAAGCACCGGCUAACUACGUG
rnacentral:rRNA from 1 species